rnacentral:misc_RNA from 1 species
GUAGUGCCAAAAUAGGGGCACAAUUUUCUGUGCACAGGUGGUUCAAAUAUAGCUAAGCUACUUAACUUUUACUAACAAUCUUUACAUUAAUGCUAUUAUAUACUUAGUAUUAUACUAUUAUGUCUAUCUGGACACUGCAAAAUCUUCAACCAUACCCAUCAAUUUGUGGAUAGAAGUUCUUACUCCAAAAAAAUUCAUUUAUUUCUCUGUCCAUAUAAUUCACAAUUGCAAGACCAAUCCCCAAGGCUUUAUCUCGCCUUUGAAAUGGCUUUGUUAUUCUGUCCUUGAAGAAAAUCCUUCAUGGAACUUGGUAGUAAACCUGCCUAUGGUCCAGGUUGGGCUUGGUCCCUCUCCUUGAACCUUGAAUUGGAUCAAAAUUGGCAGUUAAGCCUGGCAGUCUGGUAUAGUCCACUCCGCCUCCCCUUUUAUUAGAAAAAAAAAAAAACCUAGAAUUGAACCGAAAUCGAAACUGCCAGUUCCAAACCAUCUUUGAAUUGGACCUAUGCGGUCUAGUUUGGGACUAGCUAGUGGCUAAGACUACUUGGAAGAACACAAUUGAUCCCAACACAAAAGAAAACCAAAGCCCAUGAUGUGCAGCUACUUCAUGAUGACAAAUCAAUCCCAAUUGAACUGGGUUGUAUCCACAUCUUGAAGUACUGUUUGCUUUGGCCAUUGAGUUUAACUGUUUUGUCCUUGAAAUGGGCCCUUAAGAGGGAGGGGUGUGCUUGGCCUUACUAUAAGGCUCUAGCCCCUUUGACUCCAAGUCAAUGUGGGAUUUUGUAUCAUCAUCUAUCAGAUGUCCUUUGCCAGUCAAGGGGUUUUGGGCUUUGGAGAGAUGGUUUUUAACCCAUUUGGACUUUGGAUCUGGUUCAGUGGAGAUGCAAAGGGUCGUGCCCUCCUUCCUCUAGCUCCAAAUGAUGAAAAAUCAAUUCAAAUUGAACUUGUCAUAUUCAUACCUUGAGUUAUUGUCUGCUUUGGCUACUGAGACUUACUAUUUUGUAAUUGUAAAAGGCCCCUGUGGGAGAGGGAGUAUGCUUGGCCUUAUAAGGCUCUAGC